rnacentral:lncRNA from 1 species
GGGUGUUACAUUCCCCCCCACCUUAAAAAAAUUUAGUCCCUAAAUUUGAAUAAAUCCGAAUAGUUUUUUCUCAUUUCGUCCUUCAACUCCCAUGUCACUUCUUCCGGAGUAUGAUGUUGCCAUUGUACCUUCACUAUGGGAAUUAUCUUGUUACGUAAGACCUUAUCGGUCCGCCCAAGAACCUCCUCAUAAGUCAUGAUAGCCUGUACCUGCACCUCAUCGUGAAGAAUAAUAUUAA